rnacentral:rRNA from 1 species
AAGGGUGCGUAGGCGGGUAGGUAAGUCAGUGGUGAAAUCCUGGAGCUCAACUCCAGAACUGCCAUUGAUACUAUCUAUCUUGAAUAUUGUGGAGGUAAGCGGAAUAUGUCAUGUAGCGGUGAAAUGCUUAGAUAUGACAUAGAACACCCAUUGCGAAGGCAGCUUACUACGCAUAUAUUGACGCUGAGGCACGAAAGCGUGGGGAUCAAACAGGAUUAGAUACCCUGGUAGUCCACGCCCUAAACUAUGGAUACUCGACAUAUGCGAUACACUGUAUGUGUCUGAGCGAAAGCAUUAAGUAUCCCACCUGGGAAGUACGUUCGCAAGAAUGAAACUCAAAGGAAUUGGCGGGGGUCCGCACAAGCGGUGGAGUAUGUGGUUUAAUUCGAUGAUACGCGAGGAACCUUACCUGGGCUAGAAUGCUGGGAGACCGCUAGUGAAAGCUAGUUUUGUAGCAAUACACUGCCAGUAAGGUGCUGCAUGGCCGUCGUCAGCUCGUGCCGUGAGGUGUUGGGUUAAGUCCCGCAACGAGCGCAACCCCUAUCUUUAGUUGCCAACAGGUAAUGCUGGGAACUCUAAAGAAACUGCCGCCGUAAGGUGUGAGGAAGGAGGGGAUGAUGUCAGGUCAUCAUGGCCUUUAUGCCCAGGGCUACACACGUACUACAAUGGGGGAGACAAAGGGCUGCAACAUAGCGAUAUGAAGCCAAUCCCAAAAACUCCCUCUCAGUUCAGAUUGCAGGCUGCAACUCGCCUGCAUGAAGCUGGAAUCGCUAGUAAUCGU